rnacentral:lncRNA from 1 species
UUUUUAAGAGAAAAUACUUUUGUCUUUUUUACCAUGAUAGUUUAGUGUGUGAUGUCAUAAAAAUGGGCUGUAGCCAUUUAAAUUCUUGUUCAAGUGCAGAAACUAAGAGACUUCAGUUUCUAUUAAGCCAUGUCAACUCCUAUUAGGAGACCUUCAGUGGUUCCAGUUCCAGGGCCUUCUUGAAGAAAUUGUGAUUCUUGUCUUCAACAUUGCUUUAUGGCAUGUGUGGUCGUUUUUCACUCCAUUGUUGUUGUUUACCCAGUUUAUGGGGGUUGUAAUGUUUAUCACACUCCUUGGAUGAUUUCCGAAGAUCACCCCAUCCUGAGAUCUGCUGCCUUACACAGCGGAGGCUGUUUUCUGAGUGUCGGAUAACUCUGUUAUUAAAUAAGUGCAUAUUGAGAAUACUCACUCCAGAUGCUUAGAGGCAUGUUGAGAAGGACAAAGAUAGUGCCUCCUGUCAGGUCACUUACUUCAGAACUUGCAGGAAACCUGCUUUAUACAGCAGUUGACAGGUGUGGAAAUUGAAGCUCAUGGAAAUGAAAGUUAAUACACUAAAUU